UAUCACUAUGGGUUUCCUAAUGCACUCAACCAGUUCUCUUCUGGGAAAAUAUCUGAUGGCAGAAACUUCCUCUCCCUGACAACCAGAGAGUGGAGGCUGACACGGUUCCACUGGAGGCAGGUUGAAUAAAAAUUGGCCUCGGUGCCUUUAAGUCCCCCUGAUUACAGACAGAUGCUUUUUAUCCUUUGCAGUUUGGUCUGGCUUAGUAAAGCUAUUAAUCAUUAAAGGAAGGGUCCAUGCUACUUUCACAGUAGAAGGUGCAGCUUGGGCUAGAAUCUUCCUUCCAUCAUCUCCAGUGAUGAAGUUUCCAGAUUGAAGCAAUGGAAAUAUCAGUGGUGUGGCAUUCCUGGAGUUCAUUCUCUUGGCUCCCCAGGGAAAGCUAGACUUGGUUUCGGGUUAUUGCAGCAUAAAGUUUCUCACUCAGCAGGAAAAUCCACCAGAGACUCAGGCCAGCGACUGUAUUGCUGUGAAUAUAAAAGCACCAUGCAUAUAACAAUGAAAGGUUUUGUAUUAUGGGAAAAGUCCUGGAGCUUGAAGAAAGAACUUUUGUUAAUUUGCAGGUAAACCAUUCCCAGAACACUAACAGGAAAGAUGGGUCGGUUAAAAGGAGGAGAGCAAAACAAAGGAAUGAGGACUAGUGACACAGGAAAUCCUACCAUGGAAGGGAUUAACCUGGAAUUCAAGGGGGAAGGAAAAACACUUUCUCCUUAAACCCAAAGCAUCUUCAAGAUCCUGCUUUCAAUUCUUUGGGGUAUAUACCAGAAGUGGAAUUGCUGGAUUAUAUGGCAAGUCUAUGUCUAAUUUUUUCAGGAACUGCUAUACUAUUUUCCACAGUGGCUGUACCAUUUUACAUUCCCAUCAACAGCGUAUAAGGAUUCCAAUUCCAUCAUGCCCUUUCCAUACCUUGCUAUUUUCUGGGGUGUUUUGUUGUUUUUGGUGGUGAUGGUGGUUUUUGUUUUUUAUAGUAGCCACAAUAAAUGGGUAUGAGGUGGUAUCUCAUGGUGGUUUUGAUAUGCAUUUCACUAAUGAUUAGAUGAAGGGCAGGUUGUUUUUUUUAUUUAUUUAUUUAUUUGUUUUGGGAGAGAGAAAGAGCUAGCAAGGGAGGGGCAGAGAGAGAGGGAGAGACAGAAUCCCAAGCAGGCCCUGCACUGUCAGAGGAGAGCCCAACACAGGGCUCGAACCCACAAACUGUGCGAUGAUGACCUGAGCCAAAAUCAAGAGUUGGAUGCUUAACCGACUGACCCAACCAGGGGCCCCAAUGAACAUCUUUUUAAGUGCUUAUUGGUCAUUCACGUUUCUUCAAGAAACGUCUACUCAAGCCCUUUGUUCAUUUUUAUUUAGGCUGUUUGUUUUUUUUGUUGUUGAAUUAUAGGAGCUCUUUAUAUAUUCUAGAUAUUAAUCUAUCAGAUGAUUUGCAAAUAUUUUCUCCUUUUCUAUAGGUUGCCUUUUCACUUUGUUGGUACAUUCUUUGAUGCACAAAAGCUUUUAAUUUUUAUGGAGUCAAAUUUAUCAUUUUUGUUUUUGCUGCCUGUGUCUUUGGUGUCCUAUCCAAAAAAUCAUUGCCAAAUCCAAUAUCAUGAAGUUUUUGUCUUAUGUUUUCUUUGAAGGGUUUUAUCAUUUUAGCUCCUACAUUUAGAUCUUUGAUGCAUUUUGAGUUAAUUUUUGUGUAUGGUGUUAGGUAAGGGUCUACGAUACACUUUUAAAACAUUAUCUAAUUUAGUCCUCAUGACAACCCAGUAAGAUAGGUACUAUACAUAAUUCCCAUUGUAUAAACAUCACAAAGGGCAGUGAAGUCACUUGCCCAAGGAGGCACAGUGAGUGAGGAGACGGAACCAGAAUUCAGCCCUGCUCAUCUGAAUCCAGACCAAACUCCUCUAAUCACUUUACACCACUCUUUUGCGUAUUUUUCAUGCCUCUAUGUGCGUACCCAUCCCCCUCUGUCUGGAACUCCUUCUCUGGUCUGUGCCUGGUAACCUCACCCCUUGCAGCAGAUAUUGUAGGUUUUCCACCCGUACGCCUGGGCCCCUACCAGUUCAGUUCAUAGCACCCAGACUGCCAACUGCCAGCACCUGCAACUUUCCACCUGAGUGCUUUCAGCAGUUGCUGGUGGGUGCUCUGCACGCACACGUGAUGGGCCAGAAGUGCCAGCUAAUCUGUGCUCCCAGAAAAAACUCUCAGUCAAUGACCAUAGGAGUUGAUCAUCUCGUCCUAUUGUCCCUCGAAUACAGCUGUUCUCAGGCAUAGUCUACACAGUUUCCCUGUACCUCCUUGAAGGACAGAACCCUCUUUGCCCACAACUAUUCACUUGCUUGAAAACUCAUUUUUAUUGACUUCUUUCCUUUCCCUGUCUCACUUUCUCAUACCUCUGCUGGUAUUUCCCGGGAUUAUCACCUAAAACAAGUACCUGCCCUAAAAUCCUUGUUUCAGGGCAAGCUUCUGGGAGGAGCCUGACCUAACACAGUGUUCCUUCAAAGCCCUGCUGAAACUCCUCCUUCUCCGGGAAGCCUUCUCCACUGUCUUUCACAGCUGGCUGUUGCUGUCUCUGCCCGUGGCCUGGGGCACACUCCUUGAGGUCCAUGUGGCUCAAAUUGCCUUGCAGUGGUCAGUUUACACAUCGGGUGUAGGUUUUCUAUUGCUACUGUAAUGAAUUACCACACAGAGGCUUAAAACAACACCCAUCUCUUAUCUUACAGUUCUGUAGGUCAGAAGUCCAGGCAUAGUUCAGCUGGGUCCCCUGCUUAAAGGCUCACAAAGCUGCAGUCAUGGUGCUGGUGAGGCUUCGUUCCCUGCUGGAGAGCCUGGGAAUCAGUUGGCUUCCAAGCCCAUUCAAGUUGUUGGCCAAGUUCAGUUUCUCUUGGUUGUAGAACGGGGGUCUCAGUUUCCUUUCUGGUUGUCAGCCAAGAGCCAGUCUCUGCUUCUUUGAGAGACUUCCUGUGUUACUUACGCUUUCCACAUUCCCCUCCCCACCCCCACCCCCAGCCCAGGAAAGUAGGUCAAGUCUU